GAUGAACGCUGGCGGCGUGCCUAAUACAUGCAAGUCGAGCGAACAGAUGAGGAGCUUGCUCCUCUGACGUUAGCGGCGGACGGGUGAGUAACACGUGGAUAACCUACCUAUAAGACUGGGAUAACUUCGGGAAACCGGAGCUAAUACCGGAUAAUAUAUUGAACCGCAUGGUUCAAUAGUGAAAGACGGUUUUGCUGUCACUUAUAGAUGGAUCCGCGUCGCAUUAGCUAGUUGGUAAGGUAACGGCUUACCAAGGCAACGAUGCGUAGCCGACCUGAGAGGGUGAUCGGCCACACUGGAACUGAGACACGGUCCAGACUCCUACGGGAGGCAGCAGUAGGGAAUCUUCCGCAAUGGGCGAAAGCCUGACGGAGCAACGCCGCGUGAGUGAUGAAGGUCUUCGGAUCGUAAAACUCUGUUAUCAGGGAAGAACAAAUGUGUAAGUAACUAUGCACGUCUUGACGGUACCUAAUCAGAAAGCCACGGCUAACUACGUG
rnacentral:rRNA from 1 species